rnacentral:lncRNA from 1 species
UUUUUUUAAAAAAAUCUACUCUCUAUCAAAGAAGUUUUGUUUUUAAAUUGUUUUUGCCGUUAAUUUCAUUACUAGAAUUAUCAAGUUGCAAUAAUUAUAAAAAGUUUAAAAAUCAGGAAUCCUUCUUCUUGGCAAAAAAGGAUAAACCCUAAGCCGAAACCAUAUACACAAAACCAUAAACCAAACACUAAACGCUUGAACUCUAAACUAAAAACCAUAAUCUCUAAAUCCUAAACCAUAUACUCAAAUUAAACCUUAAGCCAAACACUAAGCCAUGCAAUCAAAACCCAAAGUCAAACACUAAACACUAAAUCCUAGACCCUAAACCAUUAUGCCCAAAAACCAUUGAUGUAUGAACAAACCGUAAAUGAAUACCCAAAACUCUAAAUCAUAAAUUAACUUAGUUUAUACAUUAAACAAUACUAAUGUGUAAACAAACCAUAAAUCAACUUUAUAUAUGCAUUAAACAAUAUCCAAUACCCUAAACUAUAUACUCAAAAUCCUAAACAAAAAAAUAAAUCCUAAACUCUGAAAACGAAAGCUUAAACUAUAAACUCAAAACUUAAACCAAACAUUAAAUUUAAACUCAAAAUCACGUACUCAAACACUAUACGUUUUCAUGUCACGCAGUUUCUCAUUAUA